rnacentral:rRNA from 1 species
UACGUAGGGUGCAAGCGUUAAUCGGAAUUACUGGGCGUAAAGCGUGCGCAGGCGGUUCUAUAAGACAGAUGUGAAAUCCCCGGGCUCAACCUGGGAACUGCAUUUGUGACUGUAGAGCUGGAGUGCGGCAGAGGGGGAUGGAAUUCCGCGUGUAGCAGUGAAAUGCGUAGAUAUGCGGAGGAACACCGAUGGCGAAGGCAAUCCCCUGGGCCUGCACUGACGCUCAUGCACGAAAAGCGUGGGGAGCAAACAGG